rnacentral:rRNA from 1 species
GACGAACGCUGGCGGCGUGCUUAACACAUGCAAGUCGAACGGAAAGGCCCUGCUUUUGUGGGGUGCUCGAGUGGCGAACGGGUGAGUAACACGUGAGUAACCUGCCCUUGACUUUGGGAUAACUUCAGGAAACUGGGGCUAAUACCGGAUAGGAGCUCCUGCGGCAUGGUGGGGGUUGGAAAGUUUCGUCGGGUGGGGGUGGACUCGCGGCUUAUCAGCUUGUUGGUGGGGUAGUGGCCUACCAAGGGUGUGACGGGUAGCCGGCCUGAGAGGGUGGCCGGGCACCAUGGGGACUAGAAUCGGGCCAGGACCCCACGGGAGGCAGGCGGGGGGAAGGAUGGACCAAGGGCGGGAGGCUGGUGCCACGAAGGCGGGUGGGGGGAGACGGGCUUGGGGGUGGAAAACCGUUUCGCCCGGGAAGAAAGCGUUUGUGACGGUACCGAGAUAAGAAGCACCGGCUAACUACGUG